rnacentral:rRNA from 1 species
ACCUCUUUUUGCAGGGAAGAAGCGAAAGUGACGGUACCUGCAGAAAAAGCACCGGCUAACUACGUGCCAGCAGCCGCGGUAAUACGUAGGGUGCAAGCGUUGUCCGGAAUUAUUGGGCGUAAAGAGCUCGUAGGCGGUUUGUCGCGUCUGCUGUGAAAUCCCGAGGCUCAACCUCGGGUCUGCAGUGGGUACGGGCAGACUAGAGUGCGGUAGGGGAGAUUGGAAUUCCUGGUGUAGCGGUGGAAUGCGCAGAUAUCAGGAGGAACACCGAUGGCGAAGGCAGAUCUCUGGGCCGCUACUGACGCUGAGGAGCGAAAGGGUGGGGAGCAAACAGGCUUAGAUACCCUGGUAGUCCACCCCGUAAACGUUGGGCGCUAGAUGUGGGGACCAUUCCACGGUUUCCGUGUCGUAGCUAACGCAUUAAGCGCCCCGCCUGGGGAGUACGGCCGCAAGGCUAAAACUCAAAGGAAUUGACGGGGGCCCGCACAAGCGGCGGAGCAUGCGGAUUAAUUCGAUGCAACGCGAAGAACCUUACCAAGGCUUGACAUAUACGAGAACGGGCCAGAAAUGGUCAACUCUUUG